rnacentral:rRNA from 1 species
AGAGUUUGAUCCUGGCUCAGAUUGAACGCUGGCGGCAUGCCUUACACAUGCAAGUCGAACGGUAACGCGGGGCAACCUGGCGACGAGUGGCGAACGGGUGAGUAAUGUAUCGGAACGUGCCCAGUUGUGGGGGAUAACUGCUCGAAAGAGCAGCUAAUACCGCAUACGACCUGAGGGUGAAAGCGGGGGAUCGCAAGACCUCGCGCAAUUGGAGCGGCCGAUAUCAGAUUAGGUAGUUGGUGGGGUAAAGGCCUACCAAGCCUACGAUCUGUAGCUGGUCUGAGAGGACGACCAGCCACACUGGGACUGAGACACGGCCCAGACUCCUACGGGAGGCAGCAGUGGGGAAUUUUGGACAAUGGGGGCAACCCUGAUCCAGCCAUGCCGCGUGCGGGAAGAAGGCCUUCGGGUUGUAAACCGCUUUUGUCAGGGAAGAAAUCCUUUGAACUAAUACUUCGGAGGGAUGACGGUACCUGAAGAAUAAGCACCGGCUAACUACGUGCCAGCAGCCGCGGUAAUACGUAGGGUGCAAGCGUUAAUCGGAAUUACUGGGCGUAAAGCGUGCGCAGGCGGUUAUGCAAGACAGAUGUGAAAUCCCCGGGCUCAACCUGGGAACUGCAUUUGUGACUGCAUAGCUAGAGUACGG